rnacentral:lncRNA from 1 species
AUAAGUAAAUUGAAUUCACAACUUAUGAAUCACAACUGGAUGUAAUCAAAUCAUAUUGUAAGUAUGAACAUGGUUUCGAAUCACCCCCUAACUAAGAGGGGUUUAGUUCCUCAUACUCACAAGGCAAAGAUACAUAAAAUUAGACAUUAAAAUCAAAGGAAAGAAAACACUUAAAAUGCUCCAACUUGGGUAGCAAGUGCAUCCAAGAAUUCUCCUUUGCUUGCUUGCGGCAGAUUGCUUUGUGGACGGGUUUUUGGGUAGUUUUAUGAUGUAGAAUGGAUGGGGAAUGGUAUGGAAAGGUUUAGGGUAAGUGUGGAGGAGUGUUUAAGGGUUGGAGGGUGGUGGAGAACUAGGCAAAGAGGGUGGAAGAAGGUGGAGUGGCUGUUAUGUUUUCUA